AAUCCCAGCAACUCGAGGGGUUGAGCCUGGAUGGAGGAUCACGAGUUCAAAACCAGCCUCAGUAAUGGGGAGGCACUUAGCAACUCAGAGUCUCUAAAUAAAAUACAAAAUAGGUCAAGUGCCCCUGAAUUCAAUCCCUGGUAUCCUCCCCCCCCCCAAAAAAAAAACAAACCUGUCUUUAGCCUGUUUGCUUGCUUGCUUGCUUGCUUUUUUUAUCUUUGGUACUGGGGAUUGAACCCACGGGUGUUUAAUCACUGAACAACAACAAACAACAACACAGCCC
rnacentral:lncRNA from 1 species